GGAGUUUGGACCGUGUCUCAGUUCCAAUGUGGGGGACCUUCCUCUCAGAACCCCUACUGAUCGAUGGCUAGGUGGGCCGUUACCCCGCCUACUACCUAAUCAGACGCAUCCCCAUCCAUUACCGGAAAUUACCUUUAGUCCUUGUCAGAUGCCAUCGAAGGAGAACAUAGAGCAUUAAUCCGACUUUCGCCGGGCUAUUCUCUACUGUGGGGAAGGGUUGGAUACGCGUUACUCACCCGUCGCGCCGGUCGCCGACAGAGUUAGCAAGCUAACUCCUCGCUGCCCCUCGACUUGCAUGUGUUAAGCCUGUAGCUAGCGUUCAUC
rnacentral:rRNA from 1 species